UACGAAGGGGCUAGCGUUGCUCGGAAUCACUGGCGUAAAGGCGCGUAGGCGGCGUUUUAAGUCGGGUGAAUCCUGGAGCUCAACUCCAGAACUGCCUUGAUACUGAAGAUCUUGAGUCCGGGAGAGGUGAGUGGAACUGCGAGUGUAGAGGUGAAAUUCGUAGAUAUUCGCAAGAACACCAGUGGCGAAGGCGGCUCACUGGCCGGUACUGACGCUGAGGCACGAAGCGUGAGGAGCAACAGG
rnacentral:rRNA from 1 species